GCGGCUCCGGGCUGGGCGGCGCAGGUGGCGCGGGGCUUGGAGGCUCCGGGCUUGGAGGCGCAGGUGGCGUGGGGCUGGGUGGCUCAGGUGACGGAGGCGCCGGGCUUGGAGGCUCGGGGCUGGGAGGCGCAGGUGGCGUGGGGCUGGGCGGCUCCGGGCUGGGCGGCGCAGGUGGCGCGGGGCUGGGUGGCUCCGGCGAUGGAGGUGCCGGGUUGGGUGGCUCCGGGCUGGGUGGCUCAGGCGAUGGUGGCGCGGGGCUAGGAGGCGCUGGGCUCGGCGGUUCCGGGGACGGUGGCGCCGGGCUGGGAGGCGCGGGGCUAGGCGGCUCUGGGCUGGGAGGUGCAGGGCUUGGAGGCUCGGGGCUGGGCGGCGCAGGUGGCGUCGGGCUGGGCGGCUCCGGGCUGGGCGGCGCAGGUGGCGCGGGGCUUGGAGGCUCGGGGCUGGGAGGCACAGGUGGCGUGGGGCUGGGUGGCUCAGGUGACGGAGGCGCCGGGCUUGGAGGCUCGGGGCUGGGCGGCGCAGGUGGCGCGGGGCUGGGUGGCUCCGGCGACGGAGGUGCCGGGCUGGGUGGCUCCGGGCUGGGUGGCUCAGGCGAUGGUGGCGCAGGGCU
rnacentral:lncRNA from 1 species